GUAAUGGGGGAUAGCUCGGCGAAAGCCGGAUUAAUACCGCAUACGCCCUGAGGGGGAAAGUGGGGGAUCGCAAGAACUCACGUUAUUGGAGCGGGCGAUUGCUGAUUAACUAAUUGGUAAGGUAAAAAGCUACCAAAGCGACGAUCAGUAGCUGGUCUGAGAAGACGAUCAGNCACACUGGGACUGAGACACGGCCCAGACUCCUACGGGGGGCAGCAGUGGGGAAUUUUGGACCAUGGGGGAAGCCCUGAUCCAGCAAUGCCGCGUGCGCGAAGAAGGCCUUCGGGUUGUAAAGCACUUUUGUCAGGGAAGAAAUCCUUUGGGCUAAUACCCUAUGGGGAUGACGGUACCUGAAGAAUAAGCACCGGCUAACUACGUGCCAGCAGCCGCGGUAAUACGUAGGGUGCAAGCGUUAAUCGGAAUUACUGGGCGUAAAGCGUGC
rnacentral:rRNA from 1 species